rnacentral:rRNA from 1 species
UCUUGCGCAAUGGUCUAACGACUGACGCAGCGACGCCGCGUGUGGGAGGACGCCUUUCGGGGUGUAAACCACUGUUGCCCGGGACGAACGACUCGAUUCGUCGAGUGUGACGGUACCGGGUGAGGAAGCACCGGCUAACUCCGUGCCAGCAGCCGCGGUAAUACGGAGGGUGCGAGCGUUGUCCGGAAUCAUUGGGCGUAAAGGGCGCGUAGGUGGCCCGGUCAGUCUUUGGUGAAAGCGCGGGGCUCAACCCUGCGUCGGCCAGGGAUACUGCCGCGGCUCGAGCACUGUAGAGGCAGGCGGAAUUCCGGGUGUAGCGGUGGAAUGCGUAGAGAUCCGGAAGAACACCGGUGGCGAAGGCGGCCUGCUGGGCAGUGGGGGGAACCCCUUAAAGCUGACACUGAGGCGCGACAGCGUGGGGAGCAAAC